rnacentral:rRNA from 1 species
UACGUAGGGGGCUAGCGUUGUCCGGAAUCAUUGGGCGUAAAGAGCGUGUAGGCGGCCCGGUAAGUCCGCUGUGAAAGUCGGGGGCUCAACCCUCGAAUGCCGGUGGAUACUGUCGGGCUAGAGUGCGGAAGAGGCGAGUGGAAUUCCUGGUGUAGCGGUGAAAUGCGCAGAUAUCAGGAGGAACACCGAUUGCGAAGGCAGCUCGCUGGGACGUAACUGACGCUGAGACGCGAAAGCGUGGGGAGCAAACAGGAUUGAGACUACC